GGCGUCCUCUCCUCUCUUGUUCACCGUCCGGAAACGCGACUCCAUAUUGGUCCCUCCCGCCGGACCAACUCCCAGCGGUCUCAAACUCCUCUCCGACAUCGACGACCAGCCGGCCCUCCGUUUCCACAUCUCCGGCAUCCAUAUCUACCGCGCUGCAGCCGCCAUGGUCAGCCGCGAUCCCGCUGCCAUCGUCCGCCAAGCCCUCGCCAAGGCCCUCGUCCUCUACUACCCUCUUGCGGGACGCCUCCGCGAGCUCCCCGGCCGAAAGCUCGCAGUCGACUGCACCGCCGAGGGCGCA
rnacentral:misc_RNA from 1 species